rnacentral:lncRNA from 1 species
CACCUCUUACAACCUAAUCUGCAGCGCCAGCUUUACCAAAUCCAUUAUUUGGGCAGGAUUCUGUAGGGAAAACUCAUCACCACUUCAUAUAGCAUCAGCCAUGCGGCUCAACUGAGGGCUGUUGGAUCCACUUCUAAGAUGACUCACUGCUGGCUGGCUGUUAAUGCUGGGUUGAGGCCCUGGGGCCUUGGUUUGUCUCCACAUUGGCCUCUCCGUUAGGCCUGGACUUCCUCACAAAAUGGUGGACGAGUUCUAAGGGUAAACAUCGCAAGAGAGAAAACCAGACAAGAGAGCAAAACUUGCCUUUUGUGACCUAGCCUCAGAAAUCGCAUAGUGUCUAUUAAUUGAAGCAGUCCCAAAGUCCCACCUGGGUUCAAGGGGAGGAGAUACUGACUACACUGUCCUUGAUGGGAGGGUGGUAAGAUUCUGGAAGAGAGAUGGGACCAGAAAUGUUGUUGCAGCCAUUUUGGGGAAGUGCAAUCUACCACAACGCAUAUGUAUGUACUCCUAGGCAAUAUGCUAUUUAAUUUUGCAUGUUUUACG